CACCACUCAAGCCUCGCUUGGUAUUGGGCGUCGCGGCUCCGCGCGCCUCAAAGUCUCCGGCUGAGCUGUCCGUCUCCCAGCGUUGUGACACACGAUCGCUCCGAGUUCGAACAGUCGCGGCCGUUAAACUUAUCUUAAA
rnacentral:misc_RNA from 1 species